AGCCCGGCUGGCGCAAUGGUAGCGCGCAAGACUUUAAGUAGCCCCGACUCCGCACAAGCGUUCGUUAGCUAACCUUCACGUAAUCUACAGAAAAGAGAUCUUGAGGCUGCGGGUUCGACCCCCGCGUUGGGCUA
rnacentral:tRNA from 1 species